rnacentral:sRNA from 1 species
AUUUUGCGUUAAGGAUAGUAGUGAAAAGCCCACAGCGUAGCGAGGACUUGUAACGUAUAGCCUGCCCGUAG